GUGUGCGUGUGCGUGUGCGUGUGCGUGUGCGUGUGCGUGUGCGUGUGCGCGUGUACAGUGUAUACAAUGGAUACCUAGGGAUGAGAAUUAAUGAGGAGACGAUUUGGACCUCAUUAGACUCUCUCCGACCAUCUCGAUAUCAAGUACGAGCUUCAAACAGAUAAAAGUCAGAUGAUAAAAGAUUGUAUCACAAGAGCCUGGUUAUCUAAUAAGGCAAAUUAUUUGAGGAUUGGUACCGUGAUAUCUAAAAUAGUCCAGAAUAUAUUGCUCAAUUAAACUCGGUAUAAACUAAGCAAAAGAGCGAAAUGUAAGUCUAUAAGAAGCGACAAGAAUAUAUUGGAGGAAAGUAGCAAAUAAGACUAAUGAGAGUGAGACAACUAAACGAGAUGAGGGAUAAGCGAUUGCCUUUCUUUUUUUCUUUUGUUUUUUUUUUUUUUUUUUUGUAUUUUGUAGUGGCAUUUGAUCGGACAAAGAGAUGGCGAAUGCUGCCUUCUCCGACUAUGUGAACCCCUCUGGAAUUGCUCUUAGGAGUCUGAAACCAGAGGCGAACGUAGCGCCGCUCUAAUCAAACGUUCAAGCCCUCCUAAUUGCCUUGGUUAUUCAAUUGCAUCCGCAAGUGUGCCGUUUGGCUACCCUCACAAUUAGUAUAUUUCAAAUCAAUUCAAUUAAGUUCAAGCUGAUCCGAGUUCGAGCAUCUAUUACU